rnacentral:lncRNA from 1 species
CAGGACUGUUAGGACGUGGAGGAGUUCCUGGGCUUCGUAUUAUUUCUCAGCUGGUUUGCUCUUGAAACACAGACUUCACAGUAUGGAAGGUGGCCUGGGAUGGUACAAGGUUCCUCAAUAUCUGGGGCCUGGCAGUAACCUGUCCAUGUGUGACCAUUCAGCCUCCACCAAAUUCAUUCAUUGAAUCAUUCUUUGGUGCCUCCUCUGAGCUUAAUACCGGGAAAACAGAGGUGACCCCAGGGAGUGACAGAAGGCUCAGAUGUCACCAUGGAGCCCCAGGAAGUUUUUAGAUGACAGUCAACCCUGGGCCUGAAUGUCUGGAUUUGGGAUUUGGGCAUGUGGAAUUUUAGAAAUUCCCUCUGAUUCUUCCUUUGGGAGAUAAGGUGUCACCCCUCAGUUCUCCUGUUACACCUCCUACAUUCUUUAUAGCCCUCAAAACUGGGGGACUCCCAGGCAACCUUUCCUUAUUUUCCCAUUUCACAGAUGGGAACACAGGCCCGGGGGCGGGGUGGGGAGGAAGUGGCCGAGGCUCCUAUGUAAGUUGGAGACAAUGCUGAGAUUAAUGAAGCAGCUUCUUUGACUUCUGGCAAGAGGGAGGUGAAUCGAGGGUGGCAUGCAGCAGUUGUGGGUAAUCAGUGAGUAGAGACCUAAAGAGUCACAGAGUCAAAGGGUGGAUGCGUUCAGCAGUGGCAAAGCCCCUGACCAAUGUCUUCACUCUCGAAUCCCCGCCUGGGGCUGCUGUGGCCUCUCUUCAGAGGGAAAUCACAGAGCAGGCUGGCUGGUCUGCGCCAUCCUCUCAAAUGCUCAGUUCUGCUCGCCGCACCUUUGGAUGCAGUUGGAACCUCGUCCUCAAGGGAGAAGGGAAGGACCUUAUCUCCAGAGGAUGUGAUAGAAGGGGAUUUUGCUUUUGUAAGGCUUCCUUGAAUCUCCCUUUGCCUCCCUUGUAGGCAGAGGGGUGACGAGGAUGGAUGGGACAUUGCCAGCAGAGAGCGGCCCACCUGGGGUGAGGGUUGAGGGGCAGUCCCAGAAUGAUUAUCUUAAAGCAGGGAAGACCAGGCCUCUGCAUUGUAACCUCCCUGGGAGUGACCAGCAGGCCUGCUAAGGAGGCCGAAGCUCAAUUCAGCGUCUGCUGUGUAUAUUAAAUCUGUUGGGACAUAGGGCCCUUGUGUGCCAAAUGCCAAGUUUAAGGCCUGCAAAUCCCAGGUGCUGACAACUGUUCGUGGAAUGAGUGAAAGAUCCUUGAAUACCGGGUUCAGAAGUUUGGCUUUGACACUGAAGAAACCCAGGACCAUGACCUCAGCUGUCACCAACCAAUGCAGCCAGGGCCUAACAUGCAGACGGGAAGCACUGCGCAUUAGAAAGAGUAUGGGCUUUGUGUACAGGAGUCCUUGCUCUGCUUCUAAGAGCUGUGGAGCCUUUGCCAGAACAUUGCCUCUCUCUGAGUCUUGAUUUCAUAAUGCAAGAAAAUAAAAUGAAGAAAUGUGCUUCAUAAGGUUGUUGGAGGGAUUCAAUGAGUUGGCAUAGAUCCAGUGGCUCAUAGUAGAUGCUCAGUAAAUGGUAAUGGUCAUUAUUUCAAUUUUCUUUUCAAUGAAGGAUCAUUUGUGUUUUGGAGGACUCAACCCCAAGGGGGGCAUAAUAAUAAUGUUAAUGGCUAACAUUUCUCCAGUGUCUACUGCAGAGCAGGAACCUCGUCUCUGUUUCUUCCAUGGGCUCAGUCUCACCCUAGAAUCUCUGGCUAUCACUAAGGGACUAUGGUCUGUCUAAAUUCAUUGAAUACUCUCUCUCUCCUGUGCUGGGGAUUGAGUGGGGGGUCUUGUACAAAGUGCUCUACCACUGAGCUACACUUCCAGCCUUCACGGGAAUCUUUUCAAACUGUGUUCAUAAUUGAAGUCUAGGAAAAAAUGAAUCUUCCAGGAAAGACCCUUCAUCUCAUAACAAGAACAACAAUAACACGUCACACUGGCUUAGUUCUUACUCUGUGCUAGUCCCUAAUUGCUUUCCAUUUACUGUCAUUAAUCCUUACGGUUCUAGGAGUUAAAUACUUUUAUAGUUUACAUGGUAGAGACGAGAAAAGGGUAAGAGAGAGAGAGGGACAGAAAUAGAUUU